ACGAUUUUAGGAAGAAGAAAUACUCAAACUUCGAGGUUGGAAGAAAAUUUCAGACUUUAGGAAGAAGAAUACACAAAAUUCACGGUUAGGAGUUAGGAGAAUUCGGGUUGUAUUGAAAAAUUAAUGGUAGGGACAAAAUUAUCUUCUUACACAAAAAUAAGUUUUUUUUUUUUUUACUUUUUAUCUUAGUGAAUAUUCUUUUAUAUUUGUUAUAUAAAAAUGGAUAGUUUCAUGUAUUGACUCUCAAAAAAUAUAUAUGUAUUUUUUAGAACUUCAUAAAAUUAAUAUGAUGAAUUUAAAUAAUUGUACAAUCCACUUUGUUAUAUUUUUUUAACACAUAUAUUAC
rnacentral:lncRNA from 1 species